rnacentral:tRNA from 1 species
GCGGGCGUAGCUCAAUGGUAGAGCGCUUGCUUCCCAAGCAAGACACGAGGGUCCGAUUCCCUUCGCCCGCUCCA